GACGAACGCUGGCGGCGUGCUUAACACAUGCAAGUCGAACGGAAAGGCCCUGCUUUUGUGGGGUGCUCGAGUGGCGAACGGGUGAGUAACACGUGAGUAACCUGCCCUUGACUUUGGGAUAACUUCAGGAAACUGGGGCUAAUACCGGAUAGGAGCUCCUGCUGCAUGGUGGGGGUUGGAAAGUUUCGGCGGUUGGGGAUGGACUCGCGGCUUAUCAGCUUGUUGGUGGGGUAGUGGCUUACCAAGGCUUUGACGGGUAGCCGGCCUGAGAGGGUGUCCGGCCACAUUGGGACUGAGAUACGGCCCAGACUCCUACGGGAGGCAGCAGUGGGGAAUAUUGCACAAUGGGCGGAAACCUGAUGCAGCAACGCCGCGUGCGGGAUGACGGCCUUCGGGUUGUAAACCGCUUUCGCCUGUGACGAAGCGUGAGUGACGGUAAUGGGUAAAGAAGCACCGGCUAACUACGUG
rnacentral:rRNA from 1 species